CAUAAGACAGUGCCUCUGAGAGCUCUGGACCAGACCACCACAAGGCAUCAGGAUGGUGAAAGCAACUAAGAAGACGCACUAUCUGACACAGGAUGUUGUGCCAUCAACUUCGGCAUCCAAACCCAAGACAGUGAAGAUUUGCCAUCGUCAGCCCUGUCCCAAAUGUAGCAAGAAGAUAAGAAACCCCAAGGUGCAAAAGCCUAAGAAGAAGAGCAAGGAAACAAGGUCAAAGCAAGGAAACACUGUCAAGCAUUCCUAAAAGAAAGGCUUCUAAGAAAACUACACCACCAAAAAAAGAAAAACAAAACAAAAAAAAAAAAAAAAAAAAAACAAGGACCAAUAAAGGCGAGGGGAAAGAACUAUUGGGUCACUACCACCAUUUGUUGGAAAGUUGUCAACAGGUACUGGGAAGAAGCCCAAACAUAGCAGCACUGAGAGCUCCAGGAUUUCAACAAGUGAUUAAGAAUGCCAGUAGACUCAGCAUGCCGACCUGGAAAUCUGUGAAAAGGAUUGUCAGCUAAGCAAUACCAAACUGUGUAGUCUGAAAAUAUAAGUACUACACACUGCUUUGACUCUGGUGAAAAUAAAAUCAAUCUGAU
rnacentral:lncRNA from 1 species